CGGUAUCAUACUUGCCUGGAUUUUUUUCUCCCAUCCAGAGAAAAAUGCAACCAAAGUGAUGGUGGGGAAUUUGCAGCUGAUUGUGGCUAACAAAAUGGUGCCCAGUAAUUCUGUCACCUUGCAGACUGCGAGGAUGAAAGUUGAGGAGGCUGAUACAGAAAAUAUUGAGUAACAAAACCCGAAGAGGGUGCAAUAGUUUUGGUGUUUGAUGGAUCCCCACAACAAGGCUUAAUUAAAAGGUAAAGUUUCUUGGAAACUUGGUUUACAUAGAGUGCAAGGGAUGGUUAUCAGAUCAGUCAGGCACUGAGGUGAACAUGCAUGUAUAAAUUUUCUCAUUAGUCAUUCUUUUCUUUCCUUGUACUCUGAAUUCCUGUCUUUCUGUUCCAUGAUUUAGUGGAGCUAUUAAAAAUCAAAACAAAUUACUUGCUUUUUUUAUUUUUUUUCCCCUGAAUUUCUUCCCCACUUCUGAUCUACCUCUUUGCGAAUCGGGUUUAUUCCCUCGUUCCCUUCACUCACCGGUAAGUAUAUUCAGUCUUGGCUGGGAAAGAGGCAUGAAAUUGUCCUCUUCCUCUCUUCCCUCUGAAAAGUUUAUUUGGC
rnacentral:lncRNA from 12 species